rnacentral:rRNA from 1 species
UGCUUGGGAAUAUGCCUUGUGGUGGGGGACAACAGUUGGAAACGACUGCUAAUACCGCAUAACCUCUUCGGAGUAAAGUGGGGGACCUUCGGGCCUCACGCCAUUAGAUUAGCCCAAGUGAGAUUAGCUAGUUGGUAGGGUAAAGGCUUACCAAGGCGACGAUCUCUAGCUGGUUUGAGAGGAUGAUCAGCCACACUGGGACUGAGACACGGCCCAGACUCCUACGGGAGGCAGCAGUGGGGAAUAUUGCACAAUGGGGGAAACCCUGAUGCAGCCAUGCCGCGUGUGUGAAGAAGGCCU